rnacentral:lncRNA from 1 species
CUUAUGUCUGUUUGGAAGCUUCACCUGUCAAAUAAAGCCGAUUGGCUGGUAGCUGAGCAGAGGUAAGCAGCCACAUGGCAGACUUAGAUUAGAAUAAAUGGGUUAUUAAGUUAGAAUCUAGGGACCCAACCAAGGCUUGUGGCCAAGGUGUUUGUGAACAUAAUUGUAACUCAGAGUCUUUAUUUCUGGGAACAGGGUUGUGGGGAACCACAUCUCAACAGCUGCAUCCAGCUGUCAGAGUGCUGGGGCUGUCAGAGUCCAGGGGGGUUGAUGAAUGCUGCUGACCAGUUUUCGUUGUCACCCCAAGGCUGCUUUACCAAGUCACUUAUAAAUGGGGCCUUCACUGAAUGACAAUAUAAAGUAAAACUUGACCUGUAAAAUCAAGGCAAAUGUAUUGAGUAUCCAGUUUUCAGUUAGUGCUGUAUUAUACAGUAUACAUCAGUGAUAAGAUUGGAGAAAACAUUCCUACAAUGUUAGAUGUCACUGAUGAAAACACACCCAAAACUUGCAUCACAAUUGUAAUUAAAACAUGGUUGCAUAU